rnacentral:tRNA from 1 species
AGCCGAAACCCGGGAUCGGGUUAGAUCUUCAGUCUAACGCUCUCCCAACUGAGCUAUUUCGGC